rnacentral:rRNA from 1 species
AGUGAACGCUGGCGGUAGGCCUAACACAUGCAAGUCGAACGGCAGCACAGUAAGAGCUUGCUCUUACGGGUGGCGAGUGGCGGACGGGUGAGGAAUACAGCGGAAUCUACUUUUUCGUGGGGGAUAACGUAGGGAAACUUACGCUAACACCGCAUACGACCUACGGGUGAGAGCAGGGGAUCUUCGGACCUUGCGCGAUUGAAUGAGCCGAUGUCGGAUUAGCUAGUUGGCGGGGUAAAGGCCCACCAAGGCGACGAUCCGUAGCUGGUCUGAGAGGAUGAUCAGCCACACUGGAACUGAGACACGGUCCAGACUCCUACGGGAGGCAGCAGUGGGGAAUAUUGGACAAUGGGCGCAAGCCUGAUCCAGCCAUACCGCGUGGGUGAAGAAGGCCUUCGGGUUGUAAAGCCCUUUUGUUGGGAAAGAAAAGCAGCAGGUUAAUACCCCGCUGUUCUGACGGUACCCAAAGAAUAAGCACCGGCUAACUUCGUG